rnacentral:lncRNA from 1 species
UAAGGUAUGUUCUAAAUACUCUAGCCAAAUCUCCCAUCUCUCUACUAUUGCACUCCAUAUAUCUAUUUUCGUCCGGCCGUUGACUUGACCGUCGGAGUGCAAACGGUCGCCGGACCUUUUUCUCGUCCGGCCGCCUUUGCCUCUUGACGGGGUGCUACAUGCGCAGGUUUCGAGGGGACGAAGCUAGGGUGUCUGUUGGAGCCAUUUUUGAAGGUCAACA